rnacentral:rRNA from 1 species
GAAGUAAAAGUCGUAACAAGGUCUCCGUUGGUGAACCAGCGGAGGGAUCAUUACCGAGUUUACAACUCCCAAACCCC